UACAGAGGGUGCGAGCGUUGUCCGGAAUCACUGGGCGUAAAGGGCGCGUAGGUGGUGGCUUAAGCGUGCGGUGAAAGCUCGGGGCUCAACCCCGAGUCGGCCGUGCGAACUGGGCUCACUGGAGCAUAGUAGAGGCAGGUGGAAUUCCGGGUGUAGCGGUGGAAUGCGCAGAUAUCAGGAGGAACACCAAUAGCGAAGGCAGCUCGCUGGGACGUUACUGACACUGAGGCGCGAAAGCGUGGGGAGCGAACAGG
rnacentral:rRNA from 1 species